GGCGGGGGGCAGCGGAUAUUGAAAUAGGAAACAAACUAGCUACAAUUAACAAUUAUAUUUUGUGUGUUUUUUUUUUUUUUGUUUUUUGUUUUUUUUGAAACAGAGCCAAACUCUGUCGCCCAGGCUGGAGUGCAGUGGCGUGAUCUCGGCUUACCACAAGCUCUGCCUCCCAGGUUCAAGCAAUUCUCCUGUCUCAGCCCCCCAAGUAGCUGGGAUUACAGAUGCGCACAAUCACAUCCAACUAAUUUUUGUACUUGUAGAGACGGGGUUUCACCAUGUUGGUCAGGCUGGUCUCGAACUCCAGACCUCGUGAUCAGCCUGCCUUGGCCUCCCAAAGUGCUGGGAUUACAGGCGUGAGCCACCACGCCCAGCCUUUCGUGUGACUUUUUAAAAAUGUGGUGAAAAGAACAUUUGUACAGCUCACAAAACACUUGUGAAAAUGCAAAAUGAUAGAAUAUUUUUAGAAAAUAAAACAUUUUAACAUGCAUAAAAAUUUUUUUAAAUGUUCUUUGACCCAGAAGUUCUAAUUUCUGGCUGUCUACCCUAAGGAAACAUCCUAAAUAGAAGGGGGAAAAAACCCCACAAAACUAUAGAUUUACUUAUUUCCUCCCUCCAAAAAAGGGAAGAGUCUAAAUGUCUCAUAAAUUAGCCAGGUGUGGUGGUGAAUGCCUGUAGUCCUAACCACUUGGGAGGCUGAGAUGGGAAGACUGCUUGAGCCCAGGAGUUUAAGGUUCCAGUGAACUAUGCACUGCACUCCAGCCGCGGCGACAGAGACCUUGUCUCUAAAAGUUAAGUAAAUAAACAAAUGUCCAACAGAGGAGUAACACCAGCAGGGAAUGGUGGCUCGUGCCUGUAAUCCUAGCACCUUUGGAGUCCAAGGUGGAAGGAUCGCUUGAGGCCAGGAGUUUAAAAUCAGCAUGGGGAACAUAGCAAAACCCCAUCUCUUUAGAAAAAAAAAUUAGCCAGGCAUGGUGGAACAUGUCUUUAGCCCAAGCUACUUGAGAGGCUUAGGUCAGAGGACCACUUGAGCCUAGGAGUUUGAAGCUACAGUGAACUCUCAUCACACCACUGCACUCUGUCCCUUUAAAAAUAAUAAUAAUACCACCUAAGAAAUAUCUGUAUAUCAAUUUAAUUGAAUAGUAUAAAAUAUUUAAAAAUAAUUACAUGGAUAAAAUUAAUGUUAACGCAACAGGAUGAGUCAUUUUUCUUUUUUUUUUGAGGCAGGGUCUUGCUCUGUCACCCAGGCUGGAGUGGCACAACCAUGGCUCAUGGCUCACAGCUCACGGCUCACCGCGGCAGCAUUGACCUUCCAAGUUCAAGUGAUCCUCCCACCUCAGGCUCCUGAGUAGCUAGGACUAUAGGCAUGCAUCACCAUGCUCAGCUAAUUUUUUUUUUUUUGGUAGAGAGUCUCAGUAUGUUGCCAGGGCUGAUCUUGAACUACUGGGCUAUAGCAAUCUGCCCAUCUGGGCCUCCAAAAGUGCUAGGAUUACACGCAUAAAGCAUUGUGCCCAGCUGCAACCUUACACACACAUAUGUAUUUAUUUUUAGACAGGAUUUCAUUUUGUUGCCUAGGCUGGAGUACAGUGGCACAAUGAUAGUUCACUGCAGGCUCCAGCUUCCAGGCUCAAGCAAUCCUCCCACCUCAGCUUCCCAAGUAGCUGGGACUACAGGCGUGUGCCACUAUGCCCAAAUAAUUUUUUAAACUUUUUGUAGAGACAGGGCCUCACUAUGUUGCAGAAGCUGAUCUCAAACUCCUAGACUGAAGUAAUCCUCCUGCUUCAGCCUCCAGAAGUGCUGGGAUCACAGGCAUGAGCUACCUUGCCUGGCUUAUUACUUUAUGGUUGUUGGUUGUUGUUUUUUCUAUUCAGUAUCCUUGGGUUGAAGUGAUCGUAACUUUUAUAUACAAUAAGCAAUCAGCCAAUCACAAAACUUGUACCCAGAAAAAUACAAAUGGAAUAAAACACCUAACAAUGUUAUGAAUGACAGCGGGCCAGGGGAGGAGGAUCACAUCUGUAAUCCCAGCACUUUGGGAGGCUGAGGUGGGUGGAUCAAUUGAGGUCAGGAGUUCAGACCAGCCUGGCCAAUAUGGUGAAACCCCAUCUCUACUAAACAUACAAAAAUUAGUCAGGCAUGGUGGCACAGGCCUGUAGUCCCAGCUACUCGGGAGGCUGAGGCACGAGAAUCUCUUGAACCCGGGAGGCAUAGGUUAAGAUCGUGCCACUGCACUCCAGUCUGGGCAACAAAGCAAGACUCUGUCUCAAAAAAAAAAAUAUAUAUAUACACGUGUGUAUAUAUACAUAUAUAUAUAUAUACACGUGUGUAUAUAUACAUAUAUAUAUAUAUACACACACGUAUAUAUAUGUGUGUGUACAUAUAUACAAACGUGUGUACAUAUAUAUAUGUAUACACUGUAUACACACACACACACACACACACACACACACACACACACACACUGCCCAGGAUGGUCUCAAACUCCUGGACUCAAGCGAUCUGCCCAUCUAUGCCUCUCAAAGUGCUGCGACUACAGGAGUGAGCCACCGCUUCUGGCCUCUUCCCAGUUUAGAUGUGUAUCAAUCUAUGUUUUAAUUUUAAAUAUAUUUUAGGCUGGGCGCAGUAGCUCACGCCUGUAAUCCUAACACUCUGGGAGGCGGGGGUGGAUAGAUCGCUUGAGGCCAGGAGUGUGAGACCGGCCUGACCAAUAUGGCAAAAUCCCAUCUCUACUAAAAAUACAGAAAUUAGCCUGGCAUGGUUGUACGUGCCUGUAAUCCAAGCUAUUCGAGAGGCUGAGGCACAAGAAUCAUUUGAACCCAGGAGGCCAAAGCUGCAGUGAGCCAAGAUCAUUCCACUGCACUCCAGUCUGGGAAACACAGCAAGACUCUGUCUCAAAAAAAUAUUCUAUUUUAAAAACCAAAUUACGGCCAGGCACGGUGGCUCACACCUGUAAUCCCAGCACUUUGGGAUGCCAAGGCGGGUGAAUCACGAGGUCAGGAGAUUGAGACCAUAAUGGCUAACACGGUGAAACCCGAUCUCUACUAAAAAUACAAAACAAUUAGCCGGGCGUGGUGGCAGGCGCCUAUAGUCCCAUCCCCUUGAAGUUACUUAGUGCAGAAAUCCUACCUUCUUAGUUCUCAAAGUUACUAUAGUUACACUAUAGACCCUCAUAUAUUAUAGGCAUUCAACAGAUAUUGGCUGUACUGAUUUAUAAAAUUGCCUUUUAAUUUAUAUGUAUAUAAAUACAAUUGGCCAGGCACGGCAGCUCAUGCCUGUAAUCCCAGCACUUUGGGAGACUGAGGCAGGUGGAUCACCUGAUGUCAGGAGUUCGAGACCAAACUGGCCAACAUUCUGAAACCUUGUCUCUACUAAAACUAGAAAAAUUAGCCAGGCGUGGUGGCAGGGUGCCUGUAAUCCCAGCUACUCAGGAGGCUGAGGCAAGAGAAUCUACUGAACCCAGGAGGCAGAGGCUGAAGUGAGCCGAGAUCGCGCCACUACACUCCAGCCUGGGCGACAGAGCGAGACUCCAUCUCAGAAAGAACUUUUUAAUUGAAAAAAAUAAAUAAAAUCCAUCCUUAUCAAAGUUACCUUCAUUGUCUUUGGAUCAAGUUUAGACCAAUGGGUAGGUGUAGAAAUUUCUUUAGCUUCACCAUCAUCCUUCUCUUCUUCAUCCUGACAUACAAAGUUAAGAAUGUAAUUACUAUUAUGAAACCUUAAAAUAAAAAUAAUUUAUUUUUAAAAGUCUGUUGCUGAUCUGUGCAAGGUCACAAAUGUUUCAGAUUGUCUUCUCCUAAAGUUAUUAUUUAGGCAAGUCCACGUACAUACAUUCUACCACUUUUAACUGAUCACAAAGACACUCAUCAGCCAAUCAAAGCCAGAUCUGUGAAACACAAAAGGGUGAUAAAUUACAACACAAAGGAUAUCAGGGAUGCACAAACACUGCCGGUCUCCACAAACCACACAGUGUGUGAUCUUGCCUCAAUUUUCAAGCCACCCAAAGACUGAUUUAGUCAGACCUUUGAAAUGUACCAAAGACGUUGCCACAUAGCCUGAAAUUUCAAAUCUCUCAGACUUGUGGUUGUCCAAUUUCAAAUAUCCAUGACUAGAACUGAUGACCAUGAAAAAGAAAAUUUUUUAAAUUUUAGAAAAUGGCAAAAUGUUUAAAAUGGCUUAAUACUGAAUCUUGUUCAACAACUGGUCCCAGAUUCCAGCAACUAGACCUAUGAUAAAAACAAAAUUCUGUGCAAUUUAAGCACAACUUAUUUUCCUUUGAGGUCUCAGCACUCUUAAAGUUAGGAUAAUAAGACAGAAAUUUUAAGAGAAAAGAACAUACAACUAUACUGCUGAAAGCUGGAUUACCAGUCGCUGUUACCAGUUAUGUUCCUCCAUGUGUGUUUAUUAUGUAGUGUGUGGUGUGCAUUUGUGCCUGUGUUCCUGUGCCUGUGAGAAGCGGAAAUAGAAAAAGGGAUUAGCGUUCAGUGCCUGUUCUCCAUCAGCCUCCUUGCGUUCACCCUGAAGCUUCUCGACCAGCUGCUGCUUGUAUCCUCGGGAGAGGGUUUCCCACUCUGAGCGGGUGGGAAGGCAAUGCCAAACAUCCGGGAAAAAUAAAACCACUGUCUCCACAUGAGCUGGAACUGUACGCCCCUUGUGGGUCUCCUCAGGGCGAUGGUAGCGAAUCUCUGCAAAACGGUACCUGUUGCAAGGGAAGAAGCAUGUUGGAAAAAAAAUUCUAAAAUACAUUUUAAAGACCCUAGUUCACUUGUAGCACAUCAAGUAAAGAAAUUUUGCUGCAAGAACUUGAGGUUGGUCUAAAGAAAAAAAAAUUAUAGAAGCCAUAGUUCCUCUUUUGGUACAUUUGUACAAUAUUUAAUAAGUUAAAGGAAGAAUAUGUUCCCCCAAGGCAUUUUCAAGUUUGAUUACAGAGCUACCCGCAUUUUAGAGAAUACCUGAAGAAGCUGGAUAGCUGUUCAGAUUUCAUGUGCUAAAAAAGAAUAUUCUCAAAUUAAGUCACAAGAGAUACACUAAAAUACACAGGACAAAUAAGCCUCAAGAGAAAAUAUGGCUGAACAAAAAUAAUCGCAACUACAUCAUUUUAUAACAAAAGAAUUAUAAUGAAAUGAAGUUCUCUCUUGACGAUCUUCUCCAGCUAUGCAUGAAAUGAAAAGUAUUUUCAACAUACAUCCAACUUCCAAAGUACAACAUAACAAAACAUUUAAAUUUUCAGUUUAUUUUGAUUAGUUCUUAAUCCCUUUUCCCCCAAAACAUUUUGGCACCAAAUAAACUUUAGCUACAAAUGGGGAUUUUCCUUUGAGAUUACCUGCAUUGACCAGGGUUGCUAAAAUAAGCCGGGGGGAAAAGGCUGAUCGAUAAGAACAACUACAUAAACUAUCAGUAAAACACUUCUAAUCAAGAAAUGAAUUAGUACUUACCAUUGUGUGCACACACUUAGAUCAAUGCCUGUCAGAGCCUUACAACAACGAAUAGCAGUCUUAAUCAACACAGAGGGAUCUUUUUCUGGGUCUGGUCCAUCCAACGAAGGAGACCAGUGGCCUCCAAUGGCCAUAGCUUCAUCCUUGCCUUUCAUGCCCACUAAAAACUAAUUCAAAACAAAGAAUCAUUUACAUAUAUUACGCACCCUGUCAAAUUACCAAUAAGAUACUUGAGAAGGAAAGGUACAAACCUUUCCAAUAUCAUUUUUACUACCUCUGGUAUCUGUCAGUCAAGGAAGAGUUCAGUUCAUUGUGUUCCACACUGCAUUUCAGCAAUGGAAUAGGAUUUACACACAUCAUAACUCAUCCUUUUAAAAUAUUUCUUCAGAUAGAGUUCUUUUAAAGAAACAAGCUAUAAUUCAAACUUCAACAACAUCCAAAGACACUCUGAAUCCUAUUACCACUAAUAUUCUACUAUGUUACAAAUAUAAAACAUCAAAAUGACUGUUGAACUAGUAGCGUACAAAUAAGAUAUAGUUGUAAUCUGCAAUGAGAAAAACAUCUACAUCAUUAAAUUCUGGGUGCCUUAAUACUAAAAUUACUCAUUAAUCAACAAAUAUUAAAAUGUAGGGCUUUAGAUUUUAUGUGUACAAAGUUACAGCUAAGCAAAGUGAAUACAUCUAAAGUUAAAACAAAUGUGUCCUUUUACCUUAACAAGUCUAGCAGGAUGUUGGAAUCCAUCUCGAAGUUCUUGUGGGUCCUCAGCAAGAGCACAUGACUUAUGAUAUAAAUCUUCCAUACUAGGGCUAGCCAUCAGCAUUACCUAUUAUAGUCAAAUAAUUCAAUCCUGUCAAAAGUCUAAAGUAAUGUGAAAAAAUGAGAAGCACUACUAAUUAUCUUUAAAUAUAAGAUGUCUGAAAUUUAAAUAAAAAUAGGAAGUAAUACUAUAGCAGAAACAGUAUUAGAUACCUCAGCCUCCCAAAGUGCUGGGAUUACAGGCGUGAGCCACCACGCCAGGCCUAGAUACCUUAUAAUUACUUAGUUUUAACUUUUGAAGGGAUGCUUUUUCAGUCACACAAUGCUUUAAACAAAACUAUAGACUAUACACAAUAUACUGAAUGUUUCCCUUAAGAUUGACAUUUAGUGCAUUCAUCUAACAUUAAGUUUUAUCUGAGGCUACCAGAAGUCAUACAACAUUCCAAAUAUCUCAUUAAUAUCAACUUUAUCUUCACAUUUUUAAUAAGGUUUAAAAUGUUAGAAUAACUAGUUUUACAGCUCAAGAGAUGAGGCAAAGAGAGCUUAAAUUAAAUUAUGUAACCAAAAUAGGAUCAAGCAGUUAAGAAGAAAACAGGUAUUCGGGUCUACCUAACAAACACUUUCUGAAGGAUAAUUCUACAUACCCUUUUAUUAUGAAUAACUGCUAAGAAAUUUAAGCUGCAUAUCACAGCUGAAUACAAACCUUUGCACUGUAUAAGUGGUCAGCAUCUGGUGGAUC
rnacentral:lncRNA from 10 species